GACGAACGCUGGCGGCGUGCUUAACACAUGCAAGUCGAGCGGUAAGGCCCUUUCGGGGGUACGACGAGCGGCGAACGGGUGAGUAACACGUGGGUGACCUGCCCUCAGCUCUGGGAUAAGCCUGGGAAACCGGGUCUAAUACUGGAUAUGACUCCAUGACGCAUGUUGUGGGGUGGAAAGCCUUGUGCGGCUGAGGAUGGGCCCGCGGCCUAUCAGCUUGUUGGUGGGGUGAGGCCUACCAAGGCGACGACGGGUAGCCGGCCUGAGAGGGCGACCGG
rnacentral:rRNA from 1 species